ensembl:lncRNA
GUGGAAGAGAGGAAAUAGGGGAAAGAAAAGGAGAAAGGGAGAGCAGGGGUUGGGCUAAUUGGGGUAUGUGAUUACACAGACUGCUGUUGGGAGGAUUUAGCCAACAACAGACUCUGCAGCAGGGAACACACUGCUUUGCCAUCAGAAGAGAUGGAGUGAAAGGAGCAGGCGAUAACACUGAUAUUUCACUAAUGGUGCCACACACACACAUACCCACACACCACACACACCUUCACUUCAGUCACGCUACCAGACAAGACAGUGCUGUAAUAGAGGAAUCGGGGCAGGAUGUUAGCUGUUCCUUGCUGUUCAGGUUUGGAAAGGCUAACGCUCUUACUGAAGAUGGAAGGAUCUAAACAUGGGUUCAAUGCUUAUUUGUUCAUGACCUCUGUGUUUGGCCAUCUCAACAGCAGCCAGCCCCAGCCCAGACUAACAGAACAGCAUGAGGUAGAACCAGCCCCAGCCCAGACUAACAGAACAGCAUGAGGUAGAACCAGCCCCAGCCCAGACUAACAGAACAGCAUGAGUUAGAACCAGCCCCAGCCCAGACUAACAGAACAGCAUGAGGUAGAACCAGCCCCAGCCCAGACUAACAGAACAGCAUGAGUUAGAACCAAACCCCAGCCCAGACUAACAGAACAGCAUGAGGUAGAACCAGCCCCAGCCCAGACUAACAGAACAGCAUGAGUUAGAACCAGCCCCAGCCCAGACUAACAGAACAGCAUGAGGUAGAACCAGCCCCAGCGCAGACUAACAGAACAGCAUGAGGUAGAACCAGCCCCAGCCCAGACUAACAGAA